rnacentral:rRNA from 1 species
UACAGAGGUCUCAACCGUUGUUCGGAUUCAUUGGGCGUAAAGGGCGCGUAGGCGGCUUGUACAGUCAGACGUGAAAUUCCUGGGCUCAACCUGGGGGCUGCGUUUGAUACGUGCGGGCUUGAGUUCGGAAGAGGGUCGUGGAAUUCCCAGUGUAGAGGUGAAAGUUCGUAGAUAUUGGGAAGAACACCGGUGGCGAAGGCGGCGACCUGGUCCGAUACGUGACGCUGAGGCGCGAAAGCGUGGGGAGCAAACAGG